UACGUAGGGGGCUAGCGUUGUCCGGAAUCAUUGGGCGUAAAGAGCGCGUAGGCGGCCAGAUAAGUCCGGUGUGAAAGUCAAAGGCUCAACCUUUGAAUGCCGCUGGAAACUGUCUGGCUAGAGUCCGGGAGGGGCGAGUGGAAUUCCUGGUGUAGCGGUGAAAUGCGCAGAUAUCAGGAGGAACACCAAUGGCGAAGGCAGCUCGCUGGAACGGUACUGACGCUGAGACGCGAAAGCGUGGGGAGCAAACAGG
rnacentral:rRNA from 1 species